CCUACGGGAGGCAGCAGUGGGGGAUAUUGCACAAUGGGGGGAACCCUGAUGCAGCGACGCCGCGUGGGUGAAGGAGUGCUUCGGCAUGUAAAGCCCUAUCGGCAGGGAAGAAGCAAGACGGUACCUGACUAAGAAGCCCCGACUAACUACGUGCCAGCAGCCGCGGGAAUACGUAGGGGGCGAGCGUUAUCGGGAUGCAGUGGGUGUAAGGGGAGCGUAGACGGCCAUGGAAGCCAGGGGUGAAAGCCCGGGGCCCAACCCCGGGACUGCCCUUGGAACUGCAUGGCUGGAGUGCGGGAGGGGCAGGCGGAAUUCCUGGUGUAGCGGUGAAAUGCGCAGAGAUAAGGAGGAACACCGGCGGCGAAGGCGGCCUGCUGGACCGCGACUGACGUUGAGGCUCGAAAGCGUGGGGAGCGAACAGGAUUAGAUACCCUUGUAGUC
rnacentral:rRNA from 1 species